rnacentral:piRNA from 1 species
UUUCUGGGCUAUCACACUUGGUG